GUGAGGUAUAUUGCGCAAUGGAGGCAACUCUGACGCAGCCAUGCCGCGUGCAGGAAGAAGGCGCUACGCGUUGUAAACUGCUUUUAACCGGGAAGAAACCCCAGGACGUGUCCUGGGUUGACGGUACCGGAGGAAUAAGCACCGGCUAACUUCGUGCCAGCAGCCGCGGUAAUACGAAGGGUGCAAGCGUUAUCCGGAUUCAUUGGGUUUAAAGGGUGCGUAGGCGGAGCGUUAAGUCAGUGGUGAAAUCCUGCAGCUUAACUGUAGACUUGCCAUUGAUACUGGCGCUCUUGAGUGCGCUUGAAGUGGGCGGAAUGUGCCGUGUAGCGGUGAAAUGCUUAGAUAUGGCACAGAACACCAAUUGCGAAGGCAGCUCACUAAGGCGAUACUGACGCUGAGGCACGAAAGCGUGGGGAUCGAACAGGAUUAGAAACCCGAGUAGUCC
rnacentral:rRNA from 1 species